UACGAAGGGGGCGAGCGUUGUUCGGAUUUACUGGGCGUAAAGGGCGCGCAGGCGGUUCUGUUUGUCGAGUGUGAAAGCCCCGGGCUCAACCUGGGAAUGGCAAUGGAUACUGGCGAGCUAGAGUGUGUCAGAGGAUGGUGGAAUUCCCGGUGUAGCGGUGAAAUGCGUAGAGAUCGGGAGGAACAUCAGUGGCGAAGGCGGCCAUCUGGGACAACACUGACGCUGAGGCACGAAAGCGUGGGGAGCAAACAGG
rnacentral:rRNA from 1 species